AGGGGGCAGAGGGUGUCAGCCAGUCUUGGUGUGAGGGGGCAGAGGGUGUCAGCCAGUCUUGGUGUGAGGGGGUAGAGGGUGUCAGCCAGUCUUGGUGUGAGGGGGUAGAGGGUGUCAGCCAGUCUUGGUGUGAGGGGGUAGAGGGUGUCAGCCAGUCUUGGUGUGAGGGGUAGAGGGUGUCAGCCAGUCUUGGUGUGAGGGGGUAGAGGGUGUCAGCCAGUCUUGGUGUGAG